CCCUUAGAUGUCCGGGGCCGCACGCGCGCAACACUGAAGGAAUCAGCGUGGCUUUCUCCCUGACCCGAAAGGGUUGGGAAACCCGUUGAAUCUCCUUCGUGAUAGGGAUUGGGGCUUGAAAUUGUUCCCCAUGAACGAGGAAUUCCCAGUAAGCGCGAGUCAUAAGCUCGCGUUGAUUACGUCCCUGCCCUUUGUACACACCGCCCGUCGCUACUACCGAUUGAACGGUUUAGUGAGGGCCUCGGAUUGGUCUCGGCCCGCUCUUUACCGGGCGGCGCCGUUGGUCGGGAAGACGCUCGAACUUGAUCGUUUAGAGGAAGUAAAAGUCGUAACA
rnacentral:rRNA from 1 species